GCCGUAAACGAUGAGUGCUAAGUGUUAGAGGCGUUUCCGCCCUUUAGUGCUGAAGUUAACGCAUUAGCACUCCGCCUGGGGCGUACGGCCGCAAGGCUGAAACUCAAAGGAAAUUGACGGGGGCCCGCACAAGCGGUGGAGCAUGUGGUUUAAUUCGAAGCAACGCGAAGAACCUUACCAGGUCUUGACAUCCUCUGAAACCCUAGAGAUAGGGCUUCUCCUUCGGGAGCAGAGUGACAGGUGGUUGCAUGGUUGUCGUCAGCUCGUGUCGUGAGAUGUUGGGUUAAGUCCCGCAACGAGCGCAACCCUUGAUCUUAGUUGCCAUCAUUAAGUUGGGCACUCUAAGGUGACUGCCGGUGACCAAACCGGAGGAAGGUGGGGAUGACGUCAAAUCAUCAUGCCCCUUAUGACCUGGGCUACACACGUGCUACAUUGGACGGUACAAAGAGCUGCAAGACCGCGACGUGGAGCUAAUCUCAUAAAACCGUUCU
rnacentral:rRNA from 1 species